UCUUUUUUAACUAUUUUUGCUUGCUAUUAUAAAUGAGACUUUUCUCGUAUUUCUAACAGGCUAUUGCUUGUGUACAUAAAGACUAAUAAUUUCUAACUGCUAAUUUUAUAACCUUCUCCUUCACUAAAUUCCCAUAGAUAAAAACAAUUUUUUCUAUGUGUACUCCUCAUCCCUCAUCCUGUAUAUUAUCUCAUUUUUUGCAUGUUAAAUUAUGUUAACUACCAAAUGUUUAAUGCUCUCAUUGUGAGAGCAUAUUCUUAAUAUUUAUUGAGCUCCCUGACUUUUCAAGAUUGCCAUAGAAUAUAGUUUCGGAUGUUAAUGCUAGUUGAGAGAAGAGAGAACAAAUAGCAAGUAGAAGCAGAGAAGAGGAUCACUGGAAGGGACCUGAGAAAUUGCCACUUCAUCCAUUUUAGCAAACUUUUUACAAUUAAGUUAUUAUUGACUAUAGUCACCCUGUUGUGCUAUCAAAUUCUAAGUCUAAUCCAUUCUUUCUAUUAUUUUUGUACCC
rnacentral:lncRNA from 1 species